rnacentral:rRNA from 1 species
UACGUAGGCAGCAAGCGUUGUUCGGAGUUACUGGGCGUAAAGGGUGUGUAGGCGGUUGGAUAAGUGUGGUGUGAAAUCUCCCGGCUCAACUGGGAGGGUGCGCUACAAACUGUCUGACUAGAGUGUGGGAUGGGUAAGUGGAAUUCCUGGUGUAGCGGUGAAAUGCGCAGAUAUCAGGAAGAACACCCGUGGCGAAGGCGGCUCUCUGGGACGGUACUGACGCUGAGACGCGAAAGCGUGGGGAGCGAACAGG